AAGAGUCGAAUGCCGCAGUCAAAUUAGUCGCCAAAAUGAUUAAUCAAUCAACCACAAAUAGACUCUGCACUGGUGACUGCAUAAAUAUGAUGCUUCUACAAGGCCUCAAGUAGCAUGUCCUCGGGUGAAUCAAGAAGAUCACCCUGACAACCCGUUUAUUAGGAAAGGAGCAGCUAUAUAAAAGAGAUGGAAUGGAUAUUGCAUCAAGCGGGAGGAUAUUUGUGACACUGAGCCCAAUAUUUUAAGAGAAAAAAUUUGAUUCUUGGAUACACCUUGUAUACUGGUGAAUCAAGUAGAUCACCUUGAUAACUCGUUUAUUAGGGAAGGAGGGGCUAUAUGAAAGAGCUGGAACGGUUAAUGCAUCAAACUGGAG
rnacentral:misc_RNA from 1 species